ensembl:lncRNA
ACAAUUAUCGUUGCCUUCCCCUGGCGACCUCACACUAACUCUUUCCAUACUAUUUAAGGGCUGCAGGCCUGGAAAUGACCUCCUGAAUCACUGAUCCCAGUCCCGUCUAAUUGGAGGCAACCGCAUCAUAUGAUCCCAGUCAGAAAUGCCUCAAAGUGAGAGGGUGGGAGAACAUGUAAUGAUUUCAUCCUUCCAAAUUCCAGAGGCAACACCCAAGCAUUUGUGGCAGAGAUUGUCUCUUGCUCAGACGCUGUGGGAAGGCUACCAUCGCCUGUUAACAAAAGGCAUUUGUGCUGAAAGGUGUGUUUGGUUUGCUUGCAGCUUUCUCGGCAGUGCAAAGUGAAAUGGGAUCUGAAUGGAGCAGCCACUCAUCUCUCCCACCAUGCAUGAAACAACUGCAUGAUGCAGUAAGAAGCAGCUUGCCAGGAGGCACCAGGAGAGCCUGCUAGGCCUCAGAGAGCGCUAUUGAAACAGAAGCUGGUGCAGUGUAAUGAUGAUUGGCAAGGUCCGGUGUAUGGUAACAGGGCCUAAUUUAAGCAUGAAUGUGCUAGCACCUCUGCUUUUGAAAGGCAAAUGGAUAUACAUAAUCUAUUUCCCUGAGCCAGGGUGGGGGGUUUACUCCUCAUUCUCCAUUAUCUUCCUUCUCUUGCUUCACUGUAGCUCUAGCAUGUGGCAACCUGCCCCUGAGUCUGCAGCAAUGCCAGGAGAGAGGACCUGGGCAGCCAGAUGUUCUGUCUCUGCAGGGUGCUGGUCUCUGAAUGUUUGUUUUUCUUUCUUUCUUGUCAUCUGAUCCUCCUGGCGGAAGAGUCGCACUGUGGGAUCAACCUCCUUAUUCACAGGGCAGCACAUCCUGCAAAGCACAUUUCCUACCAAAACAGGGAGUGGGGUAGAAGAAGCAAAAUGUGCCUAGGAUGGGAAUAAUUGGCAGUGGGAGAGAGACAGAUGAUAUAUGAGGGAGUCUGAAUACCGGCUAGAAGCAUGGAGGAAAAGGCAUGGAAAGUAGUCUGGAAAGAAGAGA